CUCACCAAGGCGACGAUCCCUAGCUGGUCUGAGAGGAUGACCAGCCACACUGGAACUGAGACACGGCCCAGACUCCUACGGGAGGCAGCAUG
rnacentral:rRNA from 1 species